UUGCCUCCUGUCUGCUGUGUACUGGAGAAAACUGUGUCCGACAGGCGGGGGCGAAGGACACUGUCUACAGCACAGCGUACGGGAGGCUAGGGCGACACCGUGUGCUAGCUAACUAGCUAACUUAAUAGUUAGCGACACCGUGUGCUAGCUUGCUAGUUAGCUAGCACACGGUGUUGCCCUCGCCUCCCACCUGCUGUGUACCGGAGUCCUCCUUAGGACUAGCUGGCUAGCACACAGUGUCCUUCACUUCCACAUCCCGAACACCUGCCCUCGCUUUCGUCAACAGAACUGCCGGAAAACAGUGCCCGCUGUCUACCACUGUUGUAUGGCUAGCUAGCUACCAUUGUCGCCCCCCGCCCCUUCUUCUGUGGGGUUUAUCGGCAGCUGGUAUCCAACGUUAUUGUGCAUUAACGCCACCUACUGUAUUGGAGCGUCCCUGCCUCCCGCCUGUCUUAACUUAAAAAUGGACCAAUAAAAGUAUAGAGAGGAGUUCCUGUAGAUUCAGGAAUGCCCACAUGCAGGAACGCCCCCACACUGUGGGCUGCAAUUGCACCCUUCUAAAUACCACCUUCCCACUUGUAUUUGAACGCAGGAUCUGAGCACCCGCCCCUCAUGAAUAAUUCAGCAGCCCCUCGCGCCUCAUGCUACUGUAUGAGAGCGUUUUCAACACACACAAACAUCUUCGUAGCAAUGUUUGGUUCUUCUCAUGCAGUCGCGUAAUGAAAUAGUUAUUUCUUCUUCACUGGGUGGUUAUUAUUGGCGGCAAAUUGAGCGCAAUUCCGAAUUUUCUUCCUUCCUCAAAACCUGGAGUAGGAGGUACCUCAGUGGGAGAAGGACGGAACGAUCGAACACGUCGAAUCUUUACGCACGCUCGCUCGCAAAGGCUGUGUUGUGGUCCAGCUGCUUACUGGAAAUCUUGCUGAAACGUUAGCUAGCCGUUGCACUGACGUUUACAUACGAACUGACACGGGUUUAAUGGUCAGUGGGACGUUCUUGCCUCGGCUUAUUUGACAGUGGAGGAGGUGAAAUAAAAUCAAGGAUACACCAGAGUGCAUCAGUUGGGAGAUGGGAGAAGGGCUUAGGCUUGAGCCCGUCGCUGCCCCACCCGUCUCACUGUGAGGCCAUUGUCUCCCACUCAUGAUUUCUCUAUAGCCGCUGCAGACCGGUGCAGUCAUGUUCAGGAACAGCUUGAAGAUGCUGCUUGGCGGCAAGUCCAACCGCAAAAAUCGCAA